rnacentral:lncRNA from 10 species
AUCUGUUCUGGGUCAAUAUUUGUUUCACCUUGGCAAAGCUUCCUAUACAAACCUGUGAUCAUAUGCCUUUGUUUUCUCACUUCAGGUACAAGAGAGGUGAGCACAAGAUGGGCCAAAUAUGAGAUGUGGAAUCAGGAAAAACAGAAAAAGUGGAAGAAAUGGCAAACGUGGACGUGAGAGCAGCUGGGUUUUCUAGCUCUGGGCGUCUGCAGGAAUCAUGUUCCAGGAAGGGCUGGGAGAGGCUGCGGGGAAAAGGAAGGGGUGCAGGGGAGUGUGCCCCACCCUUGCCCUGUGCCUGCAGGUGGGCCGGACUUGGACCCUGCCUGGAUGAUCUGCGAAGAAAUAGGGUUCCAAAAGGGCAGAUCCCAAGACAAUGCCUUAUAAAGGUCCUGGCUAACGUUUCCAUGGCAGCUUGCUGAGUGGCCGAGCUGAUCUCAGCCCUUCCAGGGGUGACUCAUUGACUCCUCCCAAGCUGGAGAGGUAGCUGGAGACCACCCUGGCUGAGCUGUGAUCAGUCGCAUCUAGACUAGUUUGGUGUUUCAGAGCAAGUCUCUCAAAUGCCCUGUGCCUCAAUGCUCUCAUCUGCACGUUGGAAGAAAGAAUUCCUGCUUCCCAGAGCCGUUGGGAGGAGUAACAGAGGUGAAGUGUGUAAAGUACACACGAAAGGAACUCAGCUGACAGCAGCAUCUUCACUGGUUCCUCUCUGUGACACAGGGAACGUGAUCAUGCCAACAACAUCCUUUGCUGUGAACAUCAAACAAACAAACACAUGUGAUGAAGUUACAACAGCCCCUAGCCCAUAGGAGGAACUCAGAU